AUUGAACGCUGGCGGCAGGCCUAACACAUGCAAGUCGAGCGGAUGAAGGGAGCUUGCUCCUGGAUUCAGCGGCGGACGGGUGAGUAAUGCCUAGGAAUCUGCCUGGUAGUGGGGGAUAACGUCCGGAAACGGGCGCUAAUACCGCAUACGUCCUGAGGGAGAAAGUGGGGGAUCUUCGGACCUCACGCUAUCAGAUGAGCCUAGGUCGGAUUAGCUAGUUGGUGGGGUAAAGGCCUACCAAGGCGACGAUCCGUAACUGGUCUGAGAGGAUGAUCAGUCACACUGGAACUGAGACACGGUCCAGACUCCUACGGGAGGCAGCAGUGGGGAAUAUUGGACAAUGGGCGAAAGCCUGAUCCAGCCAUGCCGCGUGUGUGAAGAAGGUCUUCGGAUUGUAAAGCACUUUAAGUUGGGAGGAAGGGCAGUAAGUUAAUACCUUGCUGUUUUGACGUUAUCAACAGAAUAAGCGCCGGCUAACUUCGUG
rnacentral:rRNA from 1 species